rnacentral:rRNA from 1 species
AUUGAACGCUGGCGGCAGGCCUAACACAUGCAAGUCGAGCGGAUGAAGGGAGCUUGCUCCUGGAUUCAGCGGCGGACGGGUGAGUAAUGCCUAGGAAUCUGCCUGGUAGUGGGGGAUAACGUCCGGAAACGGGCGCUAAUACCGCAUACGUCCUGAGGGAGAAAGUGGGGGAUCUUCGGACCUCACGCUAUCAGAUGAGCCUAGGUCGGAUUAGCUAGUUGGUGGGGUAAAGGCCUACCAAGGCGACGAUCCGUAACUGGUCUGAGAGGAUGAUCAGUCACACUGGAACUGAGACACGGUCCAGACUCCUACGGGAGGCAGCAGUGGGGAAUAUUGGACAAUGGGCGAAAGCCUGAUCCAGCCAUGCCGCGUGUGUGAAGAUGGUCUUCGGAUUGUAAAGCACUUUAAGUUGGGAGGAAGGGCAGUAAGUUAAUACCUUGCUGUUUUGACGGUACCAACAGAAUAAGCACCGGCUAACUUCGUG